UGAUGUAGCUCAGGAGGUAGAGCACUUCCUUGGUAAGGAAGAGGUCAUGGGUUCGAGUCCCAUCAUCA
rnacentral:tRNA from 1 species